rnacentral:rRNA from 1 species
AUUGAACGCUGGCGGCAUGCUUUACACAUGCAAGUCGAACGGUAACAGGGUGCUUGCACCGCUGACGAGUGGCGAACGGGUGAGUAAUGCGUCGGAACGUGCCGAGUAGUGGGGGAUAACGCAUCGAAAGGUGUGCUAAUACCGCAUACGUACUGAGGUAGAAAGUGGAGGACCUUCGGGCCUCACGCUAUUCGAGCGGCCGACGUCUGAUUAGCUAGUUGGUGAGGUAAAGGCUCACCAAGGCGACGAUCAGUAGCGGGUCUGAGAGGAUGCUCCGCCACACGGGGACUGAGACACGGCCCAGACUCCUACGGGAGGCAGCAGUGGGAAUUUUGGACAAUGGGCGCAAGCCUGAUCCAGCCAUGCCGCGUGUCUGAAGAAGGCCUUCGGGUUGUAAAGGACUUUUGUCCGGGAGCAAAUGCCUGGUGUUAAUAGCACUGGGAGCUGAGAGUACCGGAAGAAUAAGCACCGGCUAACUACGUGCCAGCAGCCGCCGUAACAC